rnacentral:rRNA from 1 species
GAUGAACGCUGGCGGCGUGCCUAAUACAUGCAAGUCGAGCGAACGGACGAGAAGCUUGCUUCUCGGAUGUUAGCGGCGGACGGGAGAGUAACACGUGUAUAACCUACCUAUAAGACUGGGAUAACUUCGGGAAACCGGAGCUAAUACCGGAUGAUAUUUUGAACCGCAUGGUUCAAAAGUGAAAGACGGUCUUGCUGGCACGUAUAGAUGGAUCUGCGCUUCAUUAGCUAGUUGGUAAGGUAACGGCUUUUCAAGGCAACGAGGCAUAGCCGAAUUGAGAGAGUGAUCGGCCACAUUGGAACUGGGACACGGUCCAGGCUCCUACGGGAGGCAGCAGUAGGGAAUCUGCCGCAAUGGGCGAAAGCCUGGCGGAGCAGCGCGGCGUGAGUGAUGAAGGUCUUCGGAUCGUAAAACUCUGUUAUUAGGGAAGAACAUAUGUGUAAGUAACUGUGCAGAUCUUGACGGUAACUAAUAAGAAAGCAACGGCUAACUACGUG